ACCAGUAUUGCCCAAGGAGGGCCCUAUGCUUCUCGGACAUCUAUUGUGAAACUCUUACGUUCAGUCAAGAGGGAAACAUUAAAGCUCAUUGAGACAUUUUUAGAAAAAGCUGAGACAUUAACAGAUAAAGCUGAAGAACAGAAACAUCUCGGAAAACAGUUUGUGCCUCCAAUGAUGGACCAUGUGCUGGGUGACUAUGCCCGGAAUUUGCCUGAUGCGAGAGAGUCAGAAGUUUUAUCUCUCUUCGCAACAAUAAUAAAUAAGUACAAGGGAACAAUGAUUGAGAAGGUUCCUCGAAUAUUUGAAGCUGUAUUCCAGUGUACACUAGAGGUUGGUGAAGCGUUUGGGUACAUAUUAGUUGUUUCAUAAUAAUCAAUGUCUUUUUUUUUUUUUUAAUUCUUAAUUAUCAUAUUUACUCAGGCAACAAGAUCUUGAAGCUAUUUAAACUGUGCUUUCACCAUGCAUAUAAAUCAGUGUUAAUAUUUUAUGCUGCUAUUAUUGGAUAC